AAAUGCGAUAAGUAGUGUGAAUUGCAGAAUUCAGUGAAUCAUCGAAUCUUUGAACGCACAUUGCGCCCCUUGGUGUUCCAUGGGGCAUGCCUGUUCGAGCGUCAUUUGUACCCUCAAGCUCUGCUUGGUGUUGGGUGUUUGUCCCCGUCUCCGCGCGUGGACUCGCCCCAAAGUGAUUGGCAGCCGGCGUACUGGUCCCGGAGCGCAGCACAUGUCGCGCAAACGAGUGCCUUGGUACGGCGGCGUCCAUAAGCCCCUCUCUCACGCUCUUGACCUCGGAUCAGGUAGGGAUACCCGCUGAACUUAAGC
rnacentral:misc_RNA from 1 species